GACGAACGCUGGCGGCGUGCCUAAUACAUGCAAGUAGAACGCUGAAGAGAGGAGCUUGCUCUUCUUGGAUGAGUUGCGAACGGGUGAGUAACGCGUAGGUAACCUGCCUGGUAGCGGGGGAUAACUAUUGGAAACGAUAGCUAAUACCGCAUAAAAUUGAUUAUUGCAUGAUAAUUAAUUGAAAGAUGCAAUUGCAUCACUACCAGAUGGACCUGCGUUGUAUUAGCUAGUUGGUGAGGUAACGGCUCACCAAGGCGACGAUACAUAGCCGACCUGAGAGGGUGAUCGGCCACACUGGGACUGAGACACGGCCCAGACUCCUACGGGAGGCAGCAGUAGGGAAUCUUCGGCAAUGGGGGGAACCCUGACCGAGCAACGCCGCGUGAGUGAAGAAGGUUUUCGGAUCGUAAAGCUCUGUUGUAAGAGAAGAACGGGUGUGAGAGUGGAAAGUUCACACUGUGACGGUAUCUUACCAGAAAGGGACGGCUAACUACGUGCCAGCAGCCGCGGUAAUACGUAGGUCCCGAGCGUUGUCCGGAUUUAUUGGGCGUAAAGCGAGCGCAGGCGGUUAGAUAAGUCUGAAGUUAAAGGCUGUGGCUUAACCAUAGUAUGCUUUGGAAACUGUUUAACUUGAGUGCAGAAGGGGAGAGUGGAAUUCCAUGUGUAGCGGUGAAAUGCGUAGAUAUAUGGAGGAACACCGGUGGCGAAAGCGGCUCUCUGGUCUGUAACUGACGCUGAGGCUCGAAAGCGUGGGGAGCAAACAGGAUUAGAUACCCUGGUAGUCCACGCCGUAAACGAUGAGUGCUAGGUGUUAGGCCCUUUCCGGGGCUUAGUGCCGCAGCUAACGCAUUAAGCACUCCGCCUGGGGAGUACGACCGCAAGGUUGAAACUCAAAGGAAUUGACGGGGGCCCGCACAGGCGGUGGAGCAUGUGGUUUAAUUCGAAGCAACGCGAAGAACCUUACCAGGUCUUGACAUCCCUCUGACCGCUCUAGAGAUAGAGUUUUCCUUCGGGACAGAGGUGACAGGUGGUGCAUGGUUGUCGUCAGCUCGUGUCGUGAGAUGUUGGGUUAAGUCCCGCAACGAGCGCAACCCCUAUUGUUAGUUGCCAUCAUUCAGUUGGGCACUCUAGCGAGACUGCCGGUAAUAAACCGGAGGAAGGUGGGGAUGACGUCAAAUCAUCAUGCCCCUUAUGACCUGGGCUACACACGUGCUACAAUGGCUGGUACAACGAGUCGCAAGCCGGUGACGGCAAGCUAAUCUCUGAAAGCCAGUCUCAGUUCGGAUUGUAGGCUGCAACUCGCCUACAUGAAGUCGGAAUCGCUAGUAAUCGCGGAUCAGCACGCCGCGGUGAAUACGUUCCCGGGCCU
rnacentral:rRNA from 1 species